UACUGUGCGCUCUGGAGAGAGGCAGGCAGGUCCUACUCUGUUUACCUGGUUGGUGGGCAAGAGCCUGUCCUCAGACCUUGGAGCUGAAAAACGGGGCCUGGGACUUAUCACCCCCCUGCUACACGGUAGGUGGCAAGUGGGCCUUAUAGCCUCAUCUCUCUCUUUAAUCCUCCCCACUUGUUUAGAAAAGCACCCUUUGAUGUCACUCUGAUGACGUCCAUCGUCCUCCGGAAACCUGCUACGACAGGGGCGCCUCCUCCGUCACAGGCCCGAUUCACAGAACACUCCGUGUUCAGCGGCUCUCCGAGAGGAGGAUUCCAAAUCUGCCUUUAGCCCUAAAUAGCUACAAUAUCGGAGUAGCAGCAGCAGCGGCCCCUCACAAAGCCUUUAUAGGAAGCGUCACACCGGGGGAUGGCGUGACACAAGGAGCCACAGCAUCUCAUCAAGAAGCAGGGUGUCACCUGGGAAUGGGAGGAAGAAAAAGAAGAAAUGAAACAGUAUAGAUGGCCAAGAAGGUGAUAAAAGUCGACCAUCUGUUCCUCAGGGAGUUACGAGGCAUCUCUGCCUCUCCGGCAGUUUAACUGGAACUUUCAAAAUGAAACAAAACAAAACAAAACAAAAAACCGGCAUGAGCUGAAAGUCACCUUAGAGAUCCCGAGGCACCGCGCUCCUAUUUUAUAGAAGACGGUUUGGGCUUUUCGACCAAAUCAGAGAGGAUCUCUGGGGACCAGGAGAUGACAGUGCAUCUUUUUCCAGUCUUUGGACCUCUCAUCCACCGGCCUGGAGCCGCGAGGAACGCUGAGUCAGCACGCAGCCAGUGCAGGGCUAGAAAGUCUGGGCCCGAGGAUCAUAUUCACCAGCUACUGGCAAGCAUAUGCUGGCACCUCUUCCAGACUCUUCUCCGUAGGCACACGGCGCCGGAGACUCUGCUCAUGAGGGACAGGGCACAUGAUGCGAGUCAAGAAAGCCCAAAGAUGCCUCGUCGUCAGAACCUCUCGGGCAGGGUUUCUAGAUGUACAAGCCCGUGCCAGCCGCGAUUGAAUGCGAGCAUGUUAAGCCUCGAUGGACCACUGCCGGUCUGCAGUGCCCAGGACAAGAACUCACAGGCUUUCGGGGAAACACUGUGUGUGUGUGUGUGUGUGUGUGUGUGUGUGUGUGUGUGUGUGUGUGUGUGUGUGUUAGUUAGACACAGCUGAGAUACAUUCAGGGAGACCAUGUAUCUGUCAGAGUUCCCAGAACUGGAUUGAGUUCACCAUGAAUGAACUAUUGAAAAGUGGAGCUCGGAGAGCCAGCAAUUGAUUCAUGGGUUUAAAAACAAAAGAGUCCUCUCCACACAUGUAUAACCUUAAUGACCUGACCUAUCCCAAACCCGUGUAAAAAGCCAGAUGGUGGCAUCUCCUUGGGUGACAGCCAUCAGAUAAAUGUCUGUUACGACUCACAAUAAGCCCCUUUCUACAUUGCUGCCAUCGUGUUAAAGGGCUGCUCGGGGCAGGACACUCCCCUCCUGCCUCCUGAUGGGUUUGGAGGAACCUACCCUGGGUUUGCAGGGCUGUGACUUGGAGUCUGACCUCCUGGGGGAUGAUUGGGAGCCAGGACUGAGUCAAACAUCAUUUUAGCAAGCUGAUCUACAAAUCCUCAACAGGAAGGGCUGCUUACCUAGAGAGGCCAUAGGAGCUCUGCGCUCCCUUUAACUUGGUGGUUUCCUGACAGUGAAUUGGCAAGUCUAAAGGAAGCAUGUUUGAUUUUAUUAUGUAUUUAUUUAAUUGGUCUGUGUGUGUGUGUGUGUGUGUGCAGUUAGCGUUAGAACUGGACUGGAUCAUAGGACACCCAGCCAGAUGGUAUCUGGAGAGUUGGAGAGUUGAUUGGUGUGAAGAAAAAGCCCACACAUUUGGUGUCAGAAAUGUUGUAAGUGAAAACAUUUUGGAGGUGGGAACUCAACCCUCUAAUUCUGUGACAUUCCAGCCCAGAAGAGCUAGGCCAUCACCCGCAGGGUCAGCCUGCUUUGUUCUGCAAUGGGUGGGUGAGACACAGCUCUCUAGUUUCACUGUGGUGGCUGGUCUGGCUGGGUCUCAUUGCAGAGGAUGUCCUCGGUUGUUGGCGGGGUUAGACUUUGUGAACAAGCACAAGGCAGCUGGUAGUUUGUCAUCAGCUAAUUUUGUCCCCAGCUGAACCGUACAGCUGGGGGCUCUGACUCCUAGUUCUCACUCAAAACAGAAGACAUUGGUGAGAACGGUGUCUGUUGUCCAAGCUGGAAACAAAGCUCAGUGGACACAACACACACAGGCAAGGCUGCCUUGCUUCCGCUUCUGACUUCUUAAGUGUCCCGUGAUCUCAAUGGCUUUUAUCAGAGAGCGGUUAGGGUGGGUCAGUACUAGGACAAGAAUCCAGAACGAUGUGGACAUUCCCGCUAUCUGUCAUGGGUUUGAUCCCAGGAACACAUAAGAGAAAUCUGAGGUUACAAGGAUGCACGCCCUACAUCCCAGCAGGACUGGAUGUGUAACCCCAUCGUGGUCAGCUAAGGGAUGCAAGCUACUUCUGCUUCAUGCCAGGACGCAUGGUUGAAUUUCUCUCUCAGGUUUUCCAUCGCUGGACCUCAGGGAUGCUCACACCCUCCGUUUGGAUCUUCAUUUGGGAUAGCAUCAGUGUACUAAAUGCCGUGCUAAGAUCUGCUUGCAACCGCUGCUGGAUAGCGCUGCAGGUGCUGUGGAGUCUGACAGAUCCUCACAAUGGUAAAUAUAGCUUAACCCAAGGCCUAACAAUUCCACCCCUGGAUAUACACCUAAGAGGAAUGAAAACACAAUCCCACAAAGACCAACACACGAGUGCUUAUGCCAGCAUUAAUUUUUAGUAGAAAGUUUAAGAAAACCAGAAAAAACCCAGAUGUUUACAAAAUGAUGAUGAGAUAAAACAUAUUUAUAAAAUAAAAUAUUGUUUGGCUGUAGCCAUAUGAAUACUUA